UACGUAGGGUGCAAGCGUUUGUCCGGAAUUAUUGGGCGUAAAGAGCGUGUAGGCGGCCCGAUUAGUCCGCUGUGAAAGUCCAGGGCUCAACCCUGGAAGUGCCGGUGGAUACUGUCGGGCUAGAGUCCGGAAGGGCGAGUGGAAUUCCUGGUGUAGCGGUGAAAUGCGCAGAUAUCAGGAGGAACACCGGUGGCGAAGGCGGUUCUCUGGGCCUUACCUGACGCUGAGGAGCGAAAGCGUGGGGAGCGAACAGG
rnacentral:rRNA from 1 species